GCGCGUGUGGCGGAAUUGGCAGACGCACUAGACUUAGGAUCUAGCGUCUUCGGAUGUGGGGGUUCAAGUCCCUCCACGCGCACCA
rnacentral:tRNA from 3 species